GUGUGUGUGUGUGACUGUACAGUUCAUAGACAGCACCUAUCUGGGCUGCUUUCACUUCAUUUUCAAUAUAAUGGAAUUAAAAUAUUCAAUAUUGCAGUUCAUUUCAGGACUUUGUUUCACCCCCUUCACAAUACUUUGGAUAGGACAAACUUCUCAUGCCGUAUGUUCAGCAUUAGAGCUUUGAAGAACAUCUACAACCUGGUGUGUCUGAACUGAACAUUGCACAGAGAUGUGUUGUAAAAAUGGUGGGUCCUUAUCGGGAGGUUGCCAUCGUCAUUAAUGUUGUUUUAAGCAUCAUGAUCACCGUCAUCAUCAUCAUCUCUGUCACCUCUCACCAUCAUCAUGUGCUGCUGAACUUGAAGUCUCAGGAGUGGCCAUGGGAUCUAAAAUGUCACCAAGCUUCACCUCCUUGUAUGUGGGAUUCUUUGAACAAGAACUGAACUUCAACCACCAGGAGAAUCCAUUCAUUCAGCACAUCUCUACCCAGAGUAAAGAGAGAGAGGGAGAGAGACAGCAUGAGGAUGCAGGGUAGGGAGAGCAGGUGACAUGGAGAUAAUACAAUCAAGCAGGGAGAGUGACUUUGAGACACUGACCAACAGAGAGAGAGCAGACAGGCAGGCGAAGAUGAAGGUGCAGGUGUAUACCUGUGUCUGCGGCAAGGAAUAGAAACUCAGGAUUCCUGUCGGGCAAAUGCCUCCUGAGUCUCCUCUCAUCUUCCACUUUCCUCUUUCUUCCUGCUCUAUCUUUUUCUGCUCUUGUCUUUGCUCCUCUCUGCUCUUGUUUUCUCUUACUGGUUGUCUGAACGAGAGAGGUGUAUGAUGGUUGAUAUUCAACAUGGCAACAAGUUAGGGGAGCACUUUUGAGCCACAAACACUACUGCCAUGUCCCAGGGGUCAAAUACUUAACCAACUGUAUCAUACAAGCGGAAACUAAGACGAUGUGUACACUGUAUGUGUUGGCAGAGGUUGCAGGAAGUGAAGUAGUAGUCAAGGUUGAAGACAAGACAAUAGGAAGUGAAAGUGAAAAAAUGAGAGAGGAUAGAUGUGGAGACACAGGUAAAAGACAUGUUAAUGGGCAGAGGAGAAAGGGUGAAUUGGUCUGCACAGAGACAGAAGAAGAAAAGUGACAUCUAGGUCAACAGGGCCACACACACCAAUACAAACACCUCAGCCAGGUAGGCAGGGCAUUAGCUGUUGGCAGCUCUAAUAAGUAACUUUGGAUUGGAGCUUUCUGUGUAAAAUCAAUUCCAGCACCUUUCAGAGAUGUUGCUGUGUGUGUGCAUGCAUGCACCAUGUGGGUGUCAGGUGUUAUACCCAGGAAUCUGUGGAGGUUAUUAUGACCUUCGCACACACACACACAGGUGUCAGAUCAUGGGUUUUGUGAUAGUGUGGCAGUCCACCGUAAUAGAAUCUGAAGAGACAGAGACAUACAGAGAUUUAUAAGUGUAUGUCCUUUCCCCUCGCCGCCCCAGCAGCUUCAUUCUCUGGUGCUUUAUCACACACCCAUAUCCCUGGAAUUACAUUUUGACCAAAGACUGGCCUUUUUGUAAAUCUUAUCUCCUCUAUAGUCUGCUCCUCUUUAUCCAAUUCUUUGAUUUUAGAUACUCUUAGGAAAUGAUAGUCUUUCAGUCCUACAUCUAACACCCAUUAGUACAAUGGUGGCAGUCAUACUCUGAGCACCCAGUCUGGUUUUAUUUAUUUCCCUUGUUACUUGGAUAUUAGAUAUCAAGUGUUUAACAUCAUUUUAACAUCAUAGCCAAAGAUAUGUCUCUGAUCACCACUGCUAAACAUGAGAUUAAUGCUUUUCUAUACAGAUGCUACUAAAUACCUUUCCACAAAUGGUCUUCACAUCAUGUUACCUGCUCUAAUAUUAUAUGCUAAUGUUAAGAGCUGCAGUCAAGGGAAAAAAAGCAUAAUUUUAAUCAAACUGAGCUAUGAAAUCACAUGAGCCAUACCUUUUAUAAAAAUGAUAUCCCUAAAAAUUGUGGGAGAAAACUGUGAUUUUGACCAGAACUGUGCAGCCCUUGCUGUAGGUGAGGCUAUUAUUUUAUAAUCCACCAAAGGUUUUUGGGCAGAGCAGCUCACCUUCAACUCACCCUGUAGAGUUUGCAGUUUGUGUUGCCCUCAUCUGUCCAUCCACCAAUUUCAUCUUUAAAUAUAGCAUCUCUUCCUCUGUUUCUUGUCUGUAGAAAAGCAAACAGUUUUUGGUGAAUGUCUGUUGCUGUUUUGGUACAGGAAUAUGUAAGAAUUUGUGUUCUUGCUGGAUUGAUGUGACACAUCUGUAAUCACAGCCUAUCUUUUAUCCAGUGUAUUGUUUCGGUUUUCAUUCAAUCUUCAGUGACACUAAAAAAUCUGUUAAAUUAAUAUUGCAUGAGCCCAAAUUUUCCGCAGUGCAGCUUUUCUUCCAUUGUGCUGGCACAAAACUUCUUUAGUAAAUAAGAAGAAAUGCAUUUCAACUGUUUAAUAUCUAACAAGGGGCUGAAAAGCCUUAGUAAAUAUACCCCUUUGUAUGUUCACCCAAUGUUUGUAUGAGUGUCCUCUUUCUCAGGUGGGUGUAAGAUAGCACUAGACUUUAAGUUGCACUUAGUGUCUGUGUUCACUCUGUCAUGGACUGGUAGCCUUUCAUGGUGUUUAUGUGCAUUUUGUCCAGUGUGUACUUUGAGAGACUACUGGCCCAAUGUACAACUGGGUGUAGAAUAUGAAUAAAUGGAUAUACUGAAGCCAUGCUACUUUAAUCUAUCACGUAUCUGUCCGACAGUGAUGAGAUGUGAAGGCAUAUUGCCAAGUGAUUCUUUUUCUUAUUCCUUUCUGCACCGUUUGACAGCAGUCAAUAAGUUUUUGCCACUUAUGGUUGUGACUUUUGAGCCGGACAGCAGCAGGUAGCUAGCAAGGGAGGGAUUAUUAUCUGAUAUAGUUCACUGAGUUGAAUUUAGCUUUGCAAGAGGUGUCCCGGAGUCAAGCAGAAAAUAGUGGACAGUAAAAAUGGUUUUCUAAGCUGAAGGGUUUCAUUUCAACUUUGGGGGGACACACUCCUGAUCAGAGGAGAAUUGCUCCAUAUGAAACACAGUGAGGUACUAUUUAACUGGGCUACUGCUUUGAUUGGGAAAAUAUUAAUCAGAGUGUGAAAUCAUCAUUAAAAAGUUAAAUAUGAGAAAGUA